AUUGAACGCUGGCGGCAUGCCUUACGCAUGCAAGUCGAACGGCAGCACGGGAGCAAUCCUGGUGGCGAGUGGCGAACGGGUGAGUAAAGUAUAGGAACGUGCCCAGUCGUGGGGGAUAACGUAGCGAAAGUUACGCUAAUACCGCAUACGAUCUAUGGAUGAAAGCGGGGGAUCGCAAGACCUUGCGCGAUUGGAGCGGCCGAUAUCAGAUUAGGUAGUUGGUGGGGUAAAGGCUCACCAAGCCGACGAUCUGUAGCUGGUCUGAGAGGACGACCAGCCACACUGGGACUGAGACACGGCCCAGACUCCCACGGGAGGCAGCAGUGGGGAAUUUUGGACAAUGGGCGAAAGCCUGAUCCAGCCAUGCCGCGUGCAGGAUGAAGGCCUUCGGGUUGUAAACUGCUUUUGUACGGAACGAAAAGGUUUGGCCUAAUAAGCUGAGCUCAUGACGGUACCGUAAGAAUAAGCACCGGCUAACUACGUGCCAGCCGCCGCGGUAACAC
rnacentral:rRNA from 1 species